rnacentral:piRNA from 1 species
UUGACCGUGGUCAGAGAUGAUCUGGAAUGGA